UAAUUCCCUCCUUCCCUCGCGCGGCAGGCACUGGAGGGUAAGAAGAGGCUGAAAAUGAGAAUCGCAGGUCCGGAGGGAGAAAAACGUUGCCUGGGAGGGAGUUAAGAGGGAGUUUACUCGUCUGGAAAAGAUUGAAGAAGCGACUCGGGAUGAAAUUAGCAGCUGCAGCCUCUCUUGCCUCGCCUCGCCUCGCCUCGCAACGCCACGCAACGCCAUCUGGUGACGCGGGGAAAAAAUACAGAGAAAAAUAUCCGGCCUUCCUAACAAGAUAUCCGGCAACUUCUUGACUUUCUCGACACAACAAAAACAAAAAGACUGAAGGAAAAAGAGUCAUUAAGGCUUUUUGUCAAGAGGAGCAGCAGCUAACGUGGAAGGGACGAAAAAGAAGAGGAAAAUUUAAAAGGAUAUAAAAAAGAAGUGUUGACUCUCCUCAGUGGAGCGGAAGCGGAAAUCCAGGGAGUGAGUCCUUACAGCAACUGGGACCUACUUUCGUGUAUUAGGACCCGGUGAUAAUUAGACCAAGAGAAGACCACUCUCAAGGGCGGCCUCACCUCACGCCGCAGCCUUCCCCAAGCACCAGGUAAGUCCGUCAGUUAAUACGCGCUUU